GACGAACGCUGGCGGCGUGCCUAAUACAUGCAAGUCGAACGCAGUGGGGACGGGUGAGUAACACGUGGGUAACCUCCCAUCAGAGGGGAUAACACUUGGAAACAGGUGCUAAACCGAUACUGAUGGAUGGACCCGCGGUGCAUUAGCUAGUUGGUGAGGUAACGGCUCACCAAGGCCACGAUGCAUCGCCGACCAGGGAGGGGGAGCUGCCAGACUGGGACUGAGACACGGCCCAGACUCCUACGAGAGGCAGCAGUAGGGAAGCUUCGGCGAUGGACUAAAGUCUGACCGAGCAACGCCGCGUGAUUGAAGAAGGUUUUCGGAUCGUAAGACUCAGUUGUUAGAGAGGCGGUAUCUAACCAGAAAGCCACGGCUAACUACGUGCCAGCAGCCGCGGUAAUUC
rnacentral:rRNA from 1 species